rnacentral:rRNA from 4 species
GAACUGAAGAGUUUGAUCAUGGCUCAGAUUGAACGCUGGCGGCAGGCCUAACACAUGCAAGUCGAGCGGUAGAGAGAAGCUUGCUUCUCUUGAGAGCGGCGGACGGGUGAGUAAUACCUAGGAAUCUGCCUGAUAGUGGGGGAUAACGUUCGGAAACGGACGCUAAUACCGCAUACGUCCUACGGGAGAAAGCAGGGGACCUUCGGGCCUUGCGCUAUCAGAUGAGCCUAGGUCGGAUUAGCUAGUUGGUGAGGUAAUGGCUCACCAAGGCUACGAUCCGUAACUGGUCUGAGAGGAUGAUCAGUCACACUGGAACUGAGACACGGUCCAGACUCCUACGGGAGGCAGCAGUGGGGAAUAUUGGACAAUGGGCGAAAGCCUGAUCCAGCCAUGCCGCGUGUGUGAAGAAGGUCUUCGGAUUGUAAAGCACUUUAAGUUGGGAGGAAGGGCAGUUACCUAAUACGUGA